GAAACUAUUAAGGAUGGAACUUAACGUAAAAAAAAUGAGUUUUUCGGUAUGGUCUGACUACAAGGAAAUUUGUAGAAAAGGAAUGUACGUGAAAUAAUGGAUUUCCUGGUAUGGUUUGACUACAAAGAAAUAUGUAGGAGAGGAAUCUAUAUAAAAUGAAGAAUUUUCUGGUAUGGUUUAACUACAAAGAAAUAUGUAGGAGAGGAAUCUAUAUACAAUGAAGUAUUUUUAGUAUGGUCUAUAGAAGAGGAAGCAAACUUUUAAAGAUGGAAGGAAUUUAUGUAAAAAAAUGUGUUUCAUGCAUGAUCUGGCUACAAGGAAAUUUGUAGAGAAAGAAAAGAAUUAUAUGUGAAAUAAUGUUUGGACAAGAGAAUUUAAUGAAGAUAAUUCAAGCGGACAAUUGCAAUUAAAAGAUGAGUAUAUAUAUAUAUAAAAUUGAAUAUUUCUUUAAUUUUUCCUUAAAUUUAUUAUCUUAUGAUGAAGUUCUUUACCACCGAGAUCUAUGAGUGCCAUGAUUAGUUCAUGUAUUUGCUAACUGAUAUUUUAUUAUUUUCUUUUUUUAUUUAAAUACUUUUAUUUAGACUGUAAAUAUUACAAAAUGAAAAUAUAUUUUACAGUUAUCACGUUGGCUGUGGUAAUGAAGAUUUAUUUGAAGUCAACAAUUUAUUUGGAUUCCGGAUCGUUGCAAAUGGAACAUAUGUCAUGUAGUAACGAGGCCAACUUUCCAGCACUGUGGUUGAUCACUGCGCGUACGUUUUCUUUACAAAUUAGCACGCAGACGAUACGAAGGGUGUGACACUUUAGCACUUGUAAAUAUCCCUUUUUGAUCCUUACAACACAACUAGGACGUUUAUUUCUAAUUGAAAUUUGUUUUAAUACGAUUUAACUAAAUUUAGAUUCUUGUAUAA